rnacentral:rRNA from 1 species
GCCUCGGCUAACUACGUGCCAGCAGCCGCGGUAAAACGUAGGAGGCGAGCGUUAUCCGGAUUUACUGGGUGUAAAGCGCGUGCAGGCGGUUUGCUAAGUUGGAUGUGAAAGCUCCUGGCUCAACUGGGAGAGGUCGUUCAAGACUGGCAGACUGGAGAGCAGUAGGGGAAGGUGGAAUUCCGGGUGUAGUGGUGAAAUGCGUAGAUAUCCGGAGGAACACCAGUGGCGAAAGCGGCCUUCUGGACUGCAUCUGACGCUCAGACGCGAAAGCUAGGGGAGCAAACGGGAUUAGAGACCCCGGUAGUCCUAGCCGUAAACAAUGUGAACUUGGCGCUGGACGGGUAAAACCGAUCAGUGCCGAAGCAAACGCGAUAAGUUCACCACCUGGGGACUACGGCCGCA